GGGGAUAUGAUGAAAUUGGUAAACAUGCGAGUCUUAAAAACUUGUGCUUCGGCUUGUGGGUUCGAGUCCCACUAUCCCCACCA
rnacentral:tRNA from 1 species